rnacentral:rRNA from 1 species
GACGAACGCUGGCGGCGUGCCUAACACAUGCAAGUCGAGCGAAUGAAGUUCCUUCGGGAACGGAUUUAGCGGCGGACGGGUGAGUAACACGUGGGCAACCUGCCUCAUAGAGGGGAAUAGCCUUCCGAAAGGGAGAUUAAUACCGCAUAAGAUUGUAGUACCGCAUGGUACAGCAAUUAAAGGAGCAAUCCGCUAUGAGAUGGGCCCGCGGCGCAUUAGCUAGUUGGUGAGGUAACGGCUCACCAAGGCAACGAUGCGUAGCCGACCUGAGAGGGUGAUCGGCCACAUUGGGACUGAGACACGGCCCAGACUCCUACGGGAGGCAGCAGUGGGGAAUAUUGCACAAUGGGGGAAACCCUGAUGCAGCAACGCCGCGUGAGUGAUGACGGCCUUCGGGUUGUAAAUCUCUGUCUUCAGGGACGAUAAUGACGGUACCUGAGGAGGAAGCCACGGCUAACUACGUGCCAGCCGCCGCCGUAAUAC